CCGGAUAAAGCGGAAGAAAAUGGAUGGAUGGUGUUUUUGAGUAGUGAUGUCAGUCUGACAACAAAGCUCCGAUCCUUGCUUCAAACUCGAAGUUGCGUUCUCUUUGAACCACUGCUUUAAAGCUUACUUUGCAGCAGAGCAAAUGACGUAAGUGAGAACGUAUGAAGCAGUGACUGCUUCAGUCCCGAAUGAAUCGC